rnacentral:rRNA from 1 species
AUCAGACCUCUAAUCGGAAAAGAC